rnacentral:rRNA from 1 species
CGCGUAGGCGGCCUGCUAAGUCGAACGUGAAAUCCCCGGGCUCAACCCGGGAACUGCGUCCGAUACUGGCAGGCUUGAAUCCGGGAGAGGGAUGCGGAAUUCCAGGUGUAGCGGUGAAAUGCGUAGAUAUCUGGAGGAACACCGGUGGCGAAGGCGGCAUCCUGGACCGGCAUUGACGCUGAGGCGCGAAAGCCAGGGGAGCAAACG